rnacentral:misc_RNA from 1 species
GAAAUGCGAUAAGUAAUGUGAAUUGCAGAAUUCAGUGAAUCAUCGAAUCUUUGAACGCACCUUGCGCUCCUUGGUAUUCCUUGGAGCAUGCCUGUUUGAGUAUCAUGAAAUCUUCAAAGUAAAUCUUUUGUUAACUCAAUUGGUUUCUACUUUGGUAUUGGAGGUCUUUGCAGCUUCACACCUGCUCCUCUUUGUUCAUUAGCUGGAUCUCAGUGUUAUGCUUGGUUCCACUCGGCGUGAUAAGUUAUCUAUCGCUGAGGACACUGUAAAAGGUGGCCAAGGUAAAUGCAGAUGAACCGCUUCUAAUAGUCCAUUGACUUGGACAAUACUUUUAUGAUCUGAUCUCACAUCAGGUAGGACUACCUGCUGAACUUAAGC